rnacentral:rRNA from 1 species
UACGUAGGGCGCAAGCGUUGUCCGGAAUUAUUGGGCGUAAAGAGCUCGUAGGCGGCUUGUCACGUCUGCUGUGAAAUCCCGGGGCUCAACCCCGGGCGUGCAGUGGAUACGGGCUGGCUAGAGGCAGGCAGGGGAGAACGGAAUUCCCGGUGUAGCGGUGAAGUGCGCAGAUAUCGGGAGGAACACCGGUGGCGAAGGCGGUUCUCUGGGCCUGUACUGACGCUGAGGAGCGAAAGCGUGGGGAGCGAACAGG